UGCACGAUCACCAGGUCAGUGCCGGGCAAAGGGUGCAGCAUUUCAAAAGCGCCACAGUCACAGUGGAGGGGCUUUCAAGAAAAAACGCUCGCUGAGCUGAAACAAAGGAAUAAUAGAACGUGAGAAAGAGAGAAACAGGUGGACAUGUGGUGCAGCUGUAAGAGAAACCAGCCGAAGAAGAAGAAAAAAUAAAACUGCUUUCACAAAGGCACUUGAAAGGAUGGUAAUCCGGCAGGAUAAGGAUCUGUUAUUAUUCCACACUUACGGGAAAGGUCUGACCACACUGCACUGUUGCUGUGGCAACCAGGUGACAUGGCAUGAUUCGCUAUGCAAACAGGUUCCAGUGGUCGACGGAGAAUGGAGACCACAGUGACCGACCCCGACCAGAGGGGGGCGAAAGUGACACCGGGCCAAACCCCGCAUUCACCCGGCGUUCACCCGGCAGCCUCUGUAGAAUUUCCAGUCAACAGAGAGACAUCAGUUUGUGGCCUGUGACAGACUCUGGAUGAGGGACGCUUGUGCAGGGUGAGUGAGGAGUGUGGAGAAUGGAAGAAUGCUGACCCCUGGUGGAAGAUGGAUGAUGGGAGGAUCAGUCCGAGCAGACGAGUGGUUGGACCAUCAGCGAUGGCACUGAGAGUGCAGGAGCUUGGUGAUUGCAGGUGAUGUAACGAGGUGGAAGGGACAUUCAAAUCCGCUGUCUCUGCUGGGGGACAUAUUGGAGGCUGGGCCUGUCUGCAGAGAAGUCAAAGUAAGACCUUCAUUUUCUGUGACAGAGUCAUGCCGACACUCUCAGCCUUGAGCAAACUGACAUUCGAGCCCAUAUAGACCGAGUCCAAAUCGAUUUCUGAUGGAUAUGCUUCAUAGUGCAGUGGAGGAAAUAAAGAGCAGUCUUAUUUUGCCAUCAUGCUACGAAUGUGUGUCCAUUCUGUGUAGAUCAAACCUAAUGGCCAUUUCCACUCAGAGUGGACGCUGCAGUGCUCUGUUGGACAUUCAAUGCAUAUUUAUGUGCAUACACUACCCUGUAUGGAUCUAGUAUUCAUUCUGCAAUCACAAUUACAUAGAUAUUAAUGAUUUGAGUGUCCACAAGUGUUUUCAAAGACAUCAUUGUGUGUAGAAAGGCAAAGCCUAUCCAUUUCAUCGCAAUGAAUUUCCCCCGAAAAAGGAAGUUACAUUUUAGAGUGACACACAAUCACAAGAAAUUGCCCACUGAUCCUUCCGAGGGUCCAAGGGAAUCAUUCAAUCAGGAACACGCUCCUCUACAGCUCGAUGCCACUCCGCGGGCAGGUUUCACUCGGCAUGCUGCAAAGACCUGGUUGUCGGUGUCGAUGUUCUGCCUCAUCAGGAACAAGCUUGCAAUUAUGGUUUAUUUUAUGCAAAUUGGGCUGUCAUCUGGAGAGAAAACCACUUCCCUCAAUCAUCACUGGCAACUAUUUUUGUUUAUAUUUUAGGAAAGGAUGUCAAAUCUGUGAUUCAGCACAUGGGGGGGUGCUGUCAGAGCAGCGCAAACAUCUCACACAGUACCACUACUACGGCAAGUCAAUCACACAGCGUCCGCUCCCAAAGAGAUUGAAUAAAGAGACGGAAGUGCUGCACAGCACUGACACACCCACCAGUCUAAAAGUGCUUUGUGACUAAUUUCCUUAUUUGCACCAUUAAAUCCCCAUCUUCACCCACUCCAGCAGUGAGAGCAAAAGUAUCAUUACCUAACCCGACUCAAUUAAGUCAAAUGGGGCUUUUAAUGUCCAUGAGGAGAUAUUUAAUACGUAGCUCCAAGUUCAAACCCAUAGGAGAAUUUUUGUUCCAAUCGAGUGCAAGAUAUAAUAUUUUCACAAAUGUAGCUGUACAAGAGACGUGUUGAGAGGCUGAGACGUGCCAACAACCAGGGGCACGUUGUUUGAUGCAACUCAGAAGUGAGUGAGAGCAGCUGAUAUUUGGAUUUUCAAGGUUUCCUUUGUGUUCUUAUUGCACACAAACACACUUACAUUCACACACAAACCCAAGGAUUUUCUUCGUGCAAGCCCUCAAGUAUAGAGCACUUUUGCUGGAGGCUGAGAAAAUAGAAACAGUUGAUAGUUAUUGUGUAACUUACUGCAGAGGAGAAGGUGUGUUGCUGAUCCGGCCAACAAUUUCGGGCUGCGGGCCAACGAACUGACAAGCCCAAAGAUCCAGCCAAACACCAGCAUGACCAGGCUGAGGGGCAGCAAGAUGACCACCACCUUGUCAGCCACCACAACCUUUAAAUUUACCACUGCAAGGGAUCUCUUUUUUAUGUGAACUUUUAAAUCAACUCCUGCUUCAGCCGAUGAACAAACCCACUCACCGAGAAGGUGCCUUUCCACCUCUGACAGGCUGGACAUGUUUGCCGUGAAAGACGGGAUGACCGAACUACUGUUUGCACCUGAAAAUGUCAAGGGAAAAGGUUACACAUGACAGGAUAUAAAGACAGAGCUGUAGGACUCUGCACAAUUGCUCUCGGAUUCCAAGCCACCUGCUAUUUUUUUCUUUGAGGUCUGCAAAUAAUUAGAUGUAGAAAUGCAACCUGUGAUUAAAUGAAUUCAACAAGUUAAGGGUGGCCUUUACAUUUCACUUCACCUGUGCAUGUGUUGACUGUUUUGCACCAUAUUAAUUGAGCCAGUGCAUUUUCCACUGCUGCCAAUUUGUCACAGGUGGCAGCUGCUUGAGACGCUUCACUGUAUGUUGCCUUGUUUCUUUCCUGGCAGCUACUUUGCGUAUCAUGGUGCGGCCACAGAUUGAACGCCUCAAGCUGCGCAGCUAACAAGCAGAUAACAUUGCAGCUGUGUCGAAGAGCAUCCUUUCCUCUUUGCAGCCUUGCCUGCAGGGGCUGAUACAGAGGUCCCCACGCAGUAGUAUCAGUUAUUACUUAGGGGGGUUAGUGGGGGGAGCUAUUAUGGGUCUAUUAUUGCACACUUAGAGGCAGCACCUGCGGUUCAUCACACUCACCAAAUUUGAAGUGAAAAAUUGAAAAAUACAUUUUAGAGCAGUUGCUAUUCAUCAUAUGACCAGGUUCCAUUGAUUUCACCAAACAUACAGCACUGGGGUGACACCUCCUCUGGGCACAAGCUAAGAGCCACUAGCAAAAAAAAAACCACUGACAAAUGUUGUUUCAGACACAUCCUUCAAGAGCAACGCACAGUAAUGGGUAUCAAGAUUCAACUUCUUUCUUUUUGUGACAACAUCAGAGGCAACAUCAAUACUGACAUACAUGUACGUGCCAGCAGUGCAAACACUCCUGGUUCAAUUUAGACCUUAUGCAUAUGUUGUGCCUUUUACGCAAGACACCAUUGAUAUUUAGCUGCCCUGGCGAAGCUGCGCAAAGUUGUCCUUAAACAAAAUAGGACUGCAUUCAAUAGUAUUUACAUUUUACGUGAGUAGAUGAAUUAAUAGCCUCUCAAUAAAAGCUCGUGCAAAGUACAAACCACGUGCAGAGGUUGAGCGGACCACAUACCAUAAAUCCUCCACAGUCCAGAGUGAGAACUCAGGUCGUCUGAGCCUGUGUGGUUGGGUUUAGUCACGUCGAUGAUGUACCAGUAGUCAGUCCCAAUUGCCACUGCGAGGAGGCAGAAACUGAGCAAAGCUGAGCCCCCAGCAGCAACGAUCACAGAUCCGUACCUCAUUUUAGAUAUAUACGGUCCGCACGCAGGGCGCAGUGACGCUGUACACCUUUUAUUUCACUGUAAUCUCGACCGACGCUCCAAGAUGUGCGAUGCGUAAAAGCUGUCCUUGCGGAUCCUUCCCUGGAAAGUGUCGCUCCUCGGCGCUGCAAGCAUGUCUAUACAUUUAGUUUUGGUUGAGCUGAAAUAAAAUAUAAAAUCAAUAAAAGAUACAUUCAAUCAUCAUCAUGUUUUAAAUCUUUUUAAGAAAAAAGAAAAGAAAAGAAAAGGGAUUAAGAAAGAGAGAUAAGCAGGAUGCGCAACUCUGCGCCAGUUUCCACCACACUGACAGAUAAUUGUGGCGGACAGCAGCAGCACUGCUCCUGAUUGGACCCAUAAUGGAGUAAAACACCGUGUUUCCGGUACUGCCCUUUCAAAAUAAACGUCCAACCAGGAGUAUAGAUAUUGAAAAUGUGUUUGGCUUUUACUUAUGGAUGCAAAAUAGCCAAUUUCCGACUUCUGUUUGAUCAUUAAAGUGAAUUUGACUAUUCAACAGUAAUUUAAGCCUAUUUUCACCAGUAACAGUGGCUUCUACAUUGACCAAACAAAGAUACAACUGUGACCCCACCCAGGCUUUAAUCAUCAUACCCAGUACGAAAAUUCAGCUUAGGAUUUAAUGUUAGAAACAGACAAAAGAAAUUAAAAUCAACAGUUGAGCCUUUAUUGCUUUCACCUAAUCAUAAAGAUAUAAACGUAUCCCUGGUUUUAGAGAUGAUUGUAUUUUCAUUUCCAUGUGGGAAAUUCUUAUUUGAUGUCGCUGAUAAAGGGAGACAGCCGCUACGUGCUUUGCGAACAGGAGGAAAAAUUCACCUUAAACUGAUGAGAGGUGUAGUCAAAACUUUAGCAUCCGAUUGCAGUGUUGUUUUUUCAAAAUGAAACAGUCAAUGUCAUUCUGCUUUGUUUUAGAUCAGAAAAAUAAGUAGUAGGACAAAAUAUUUGACAUAAAUAUCAAUAACAAGAAAAACUCACAAAUAAUUAUACAAUAAAUGAAAAAACUGUGAAAAAGUCUAUUUCUGUAGCUCUACAUUCAUUCAUUUACUUUAUCAACAUUUCUCAAUUUAUUUAUCUGUUUAUUUAUUUAUGAUGUCAUACAUUAAAAGAGGAUGAAUUGGAUUUAAGUAUGGACUCGUUACCGUAAACAACCAAACAAACAGACAAGGAGGUGGAUGUGAUCAACAUAAUAUAAUAUAAUAUAUCAGUCUUUUCUUCUAGUAUCUCUAUCUGUACCUUUUUUGUUGCCAGAACGGAGCCCUGGUUGCCAGGUUGUGUGGAAUUAGCCUCAGCGACCAAGUUGGAAUCAGUUUGUGAAUGUGUCCAUGUGAUGACCUGGAGGCUGGUUCUGAAUGACAGGAAGGUUGCAGCAGUGACAGUAAAGGCAGUGCUUCAAUUAUGGAUGUUGCUAAGAACAAGAUACUAAUUUUAAAAUGUGGAUGCUUCACUUUGGGCACAAUAGAAGAUGUGUACAAUCACCAUAGAUUCAAGAUAAGUGUUACCAAUUCUGUAUCUGACCUAAAGGGAAAUAUGGCCCAAAUCUCUUCUACUGAGCUAUUUCACUGAAUAAUGGUAAAAAAAUGAUUUAGCAGGACAUUGUGAUAUUUUUGGUAUAUAAUGUCAUGGCUUUAUACAUUUCUACUAUUAGACAUCUGUGUGAAAUGCUGUCACAACUAGUAUAACCGGCCAUUUUUCGUGAGGUCGAAGUGACCUUUCACCACGAAAGCCAGUUCCAACAGAACGUCACAACAUCAGCAGCAAUGCAACUGUUAUUUACUUGAAAUGCCAAGUAUGAGUUAGGGAAUGGUUUAGUGUUACUGACUGUUGUUAUUCUCUGCAAAUCAUUUCAAAUAUUUUCCCGACUGAAGCAAAAAUAAAUUUGCAGGCGAUUUUCUUAACUGCACAUUUCUCCAGUGAUUAAAAAAGUGUUGAGACAAGGUUUUCCGAUGUAGGCAAAGGGUUGGUAUCACACCUACUGAUUCAAUUUAUCUGGACUCACGUGUCAAGUUAUUUCGGUACAACUCGAUAAUUUUAAUUCAACCUUGCAAUAAAUCCUCCUCUGAAUCAUCAA